GUAGCUAACGCAUUAAGCGCCCCGCCUGGGGAGUACGGCCGCAAGGCUAAAACUCAAAGGAAUUGACGGGGGCCCGCACAAGCGGCGGAGCAUGCGGAUUAAUUCGACGCAACGCGAAGACCCUUACCAAGGCUUGACAUAACCGAGAACGCCGCAGAAAUGUGGAACUCUUUGGACACUCGGUUACAGGUGGUGCAUGGUUGUCGUCAGCUCGUGUCGUGAGAUGUUGGGUUAAGUCCCGCAACGAGCGCAACCCUCGUCGCAUGUUGCCAGCACGUAGUGGUGGGAACUCAUGUGAGACUGCCGGGGUCAACUCGGAGGAAGGUGGGGAUGACGUCAAAUCAUCAUGCCCCUUAUGUCUUGGGCUUCACGCAUGCUACAAUGGCCGGUACAAAGGGCUGCGAUGUCGUAAGGCGGAGCGAAUCCCAAAAAGCCGGUCUCAGUUCGGAUUGAGGUCUGCAACUCGACCUCAUGAAGUCGGAGUCGCUAGUAAUCGCAGAUCAGCAACGCUGCGGUGAAUACGUUCCCGGGCCUUGUACACACCGCCCGUCAAGUCAUGAAAGUCGGUAACACCCGAAGCCGGUGGCCUAACCCUUGUGGAGGAGCCGUCGAAGUGGAUCGGUAGGUCCCC
rnacentral:rRNA from 1 species